rnacentral:rRNA from 1 species
GGUUAAGCGACUAAGCGUACACGGUGGAUGCCCUGGCAGUCAGAGGCGAUGAAGGACGUGCUAAUCUGCGAAAAGCGUCGGUAAGGUGAUAUGAACCGUUAUAACCGGCGAUGUCCGAAUGGGGAAACCCAGUGUGAUUCGUCACACUAUCGUUAACUGAAUACAUAGGUUAACGAGGCGAACCGGGGGAACUGAAACAUCUAAGUACCCCGAGGAAAAGAAAUCAACCGAGAUUCCCCCAGUAGCGGCGAGCGAACGGGGAGCAGCCCAGAGUCUGAAUCAGCUUGUGUGUUAGUGGAACGGUCUGGAAAGUCCGACGGUACAGGGUGAUAGUCCCGUACACCAAAAUGCACAGGUUGUGAACUCGAAGAGUAGGGCGGGACACGUGGUAUCCUGUCUGAAUAUGGGGGGACCAUCCUCCAAGGCUAAAUACUCCUGACUGACCGAUAGUGAACCAGUACCGUGAGGGAAAGGCGAAAAGAACCCCGGCGAGGGGAGUGAAAAAGAACCUGAAACCGUGUACGUACAAGCAGUGGGAGCACCUUCGGGUGUGACUGCGUACCUUUUGUAUAAUGGGUCAGCGACUUAUAUUCUGUAGCAAGGUUAACCGUAUAGGGGAGCCGCAGGGAAACCGAGUCUUAACUGGGCGUUAAGUUGCAGGGUAUAGACCCGAAACCCGGUGAUCUAGCCAUGGGCAGGUUGAAGGUUGGGUAACACUAACUGGAGGACCGAACCGACUAAUGUUGAAAAAUUAGCGGAUGACUUGUGGCUGGGGGUGAAAGGCCAAUCAAACCGGGAGAUAGCUGGUUCUCCCCGAAAGCUAUUUAGGUAGCGCCUCGUGAAUUCAUCUUCGGGGGUAGAGCACUGUUUCGGCUAGGGGGUCAUCCCGACUUACCAACCCGAUGCAAACUACGAAUACCGAAGAAUGUUAUCACGGGAGACACACGGCGGGUGCUAACGUCCGUCGUGAAGAGGGAAACAACCCAGACCGCCAGCUAAGGUCCCAAAGUCAUGGUUAAGUGGGAAACGAUGUGGGAAGGCACAGACAGCCAGGAUGUUGGCUUAGAAGCAGCCAUCAUUUAAAGAAAGCGUAAUAGCUCACUGGUCGAGUCGGCCUGCGCGGAAGAUGUAACGGGGCUAAACCAUGCACCGAAGCUGCGGCAGCGACACUAUGUGUUGUUGGGUAGGGGAGCGUUCUGUAAGCCUGCGAAGGUGUGCUGUGAGGCAUGCUGGAGGUAUCAGAAGUGCGAAUGCUGACAUAAGUAACGAUAAAGCGGGUGAAAAGCCCGCUCGCCGGAAGACCAAGGGUUCCUGUCCAACGUUAAUCGGGGCAGGGUGAGUCGACCCCUAAGGCGAGGCCGAAAGGCGUAGUCGAUGGGAAACAGGUUAAUAUUCCUGUACUUGGUGUUACUGCGAAGGGGGGACGGAGAAGGCUAUGUUAGCCGGGCGACGGUUGUCCCGGUUUAAGCAUGUAGGCUGGUUAUCCAGGCAAAUCCGGAUAAUCAAGGCUGAGGUGUGAUGACGAGGCACUACGGUGCUGAAGUAACAAAUGCCCUGCUUCCAGGAAAAGCCUCUAAGCAUCAGGUAACAUCAAAUCGUACCCCAAACCGACACAGGUGGUCAGGUAGAGAAUACCAAGGCGCUUGAGAGAACUCGGGUGAAGGAACUAGGCAAAAUGGUGCCGUAACUUCGGGAGAAGGCACGCUGGUGUGUAGGUGAAGUCCCUGCGGAUGGAGCUGAGACCAGUCGAAGAUACCAGCUGGCUGCAACUGUUUAUUAAAAACACAGCACUGUGCAAACACGAAAGUGGACGUAUACGGUGUGACGCCUGCCCGGUGCCGGAAGGUUAAUUGAUGGGGUUAUCCGUAAGGAGAAGCUCUUGAUCGAAGCCCCGGUAAACGGCGGCCGUAACUAUAACGGUCCUAAGGUAGCGAAAUUCCUUGUCGGGUAAGUUCCGACCUGCACGAAUGGCGUAAUGAUGGCCAGGCUGUCUCCACCCGAGACUCAGUGAAAUUGAACUCGCUGUGAAGAUGCAGUGUACCCGCGGCAAGACGGAAAGACCCCGUGAACCUUUACUAUAGCUUGACACUGAACAUUGAGCCUUGAUGUGUAGGAUAGGUGGGAGGCUUUGAAGCGUGGACGCCAGUCUGCGUGGAGCCAACCUUGAAAUACCACCCUUUAAUGUUUGAUGUUCUAACGUUGGCCCCUUACCGGGGUUGCGGACAGUGUCUGGUGGGUAGUUUGACUGGGGCGGUCUCCUCCCAAAGCGUAACGGAGGAGCACGAAGGUUAGCUAAUCCUGGUCGGACAUCAGGAGGUUAGUGCAAUGGCAUAAGCUAGCUUGACUGCGAGCGUGACGGCGCGAGCAGGUGCGAAAGCAGGUCAUAGUGAUCCGGUGGUUCUGAAUGGAAGGGCCAUCGCUCAACGGAUAAAAGGUACUCCGGGGAUAACAGGCUGAUACCGCCCAAGAGUUCAUAUCGACGGCGGUGUUUGGCACCUCGAUGUCGGCUCAUCACAUCCUGGGGCUGAAGUAGGUCCCAAGGGUAUGGCUGUUCGCCAUUUAAAGUGGUACGCGAGCUGGGUUUAGAACGUCGUGAGACAGUUCGGUCCCUAUCUGCCGUGGGCGCUGGAGAAUUGAGGGGGGCUGCUCCUAGUACGAGAGGACCGGAGUGGACGCAUCACUGGUGUUCGGGUUGUCAUGCCAAUGGCACUGCCCGGUAGCUAAAUGCGGAAGAGAUAAGUGCUGAAAGCAUCUAAGCACGAAACUUGCCCCGAGAUGAGUUCUCCCUGAGACUUUAAGUCUCCUGAAGGAACGUUGAAGACGACGACGUUGAUAGGCCGGGUGUGUAAGCGCAGCGAUGCGUUGAGCUAACCGGUACUAAUGAACCGUGAGGCUUAACCUU